UACGGGGGGGGCAAGCGUUGUUCGGAAUUACUGGGCGUAAAGGGCUCGUAGGCGGCCAACUAAGUCAAACGUGAAAUCCCUCGGCUUAACCGGGGAACUGCGUCUGAUACUGGAUGGCUUGAGUUUGGGAGAGGGAUGCGGAAUUCCAGGUGUAGCGGUGAAAUGCGUAGAUAUCUGGAGGAACACCGGUGGCGAAGGCGGCGUUCUGGACUGCUACUGACACUGAGGAACGAAAGCCAGGGGAGCAAACGGG
rnacentral:rRNA from 1 species